UGCAGGUGAAGGUUCCCUUUAUGGAGUGGACAUCAACACCGGUGGCAUUGUAGAUUCAUAUGCUAACUUUGUAUGGGAGCCUGCAGUUGUGAAGAUAAAUGCUAUGAAUGCUGCAACUGAGGCAGCUUGCCUUGUUCUAAGUGUUGACGAGACAGUCAAAAAUCCCAAGUCUGAGAGUGCACAAGGAGACGCUGCUGCAAGUGCUAUGGGUCGAGGUCGUGGACGAGGACGAGGAAUGAGACGGUGAUUAAAUGAAGGAAAACAUUUUAUUUCCUUCCUAGGAUGGUGUGGGUGGGAGUUAGCAGUCAGGAUUUUUGGAAUAGUUGGAAAGACAAAUCCAGUUUUUGGAGCUUGUCUUAUGUUAGUGUAUUAUCUUUAGAAUGGGUUUGUUUGUUUAGUUGAAGUUGUACUCCUGUUUUAUCCUAUCUUAAAGUGCAUGAUUGAAGUAG